GAUGAACGCUGGCGGCGUGCCUAAUACAUGCAAGUCGAGCGAACAGACGAGGAUCUUGCUCCUCUGACGUCAGCGGCGGACGGGUGAGUAACACGUGGAUAACCUACCUAUAAGACUGGGCUAACUUCGGGAAACCGGAGCUAAUACCGGAUAAUAUAUUGAACCGCAUGGUUCAAUAGUGAAAAACGGUUUUGCUGUCACUUAUAUAUGGAUCCGCGCCGCAUUAGCUAGUUGGUAAGGUAAAGGCUUACCACGGCAACGAUGCGUAGCCGACCGGAGAGGGUGAUCGGCCACACUGGAACUGAGACACGGUCCAGACUCCUACGGGAGGCAGCAGUAGGGAAUCUUCCGCAAUGGGCGAAAGCCAGACGGAGCAACGCCGCGUGAGUGAUGAAGGUCUUCGGAUCGGAAAACUAUGUUAUUAGGGAAGAAGAAAUGUGUAAGUAACUAUGCACGUCUUGACGGUACCUAAUCAGAAAGCAACGGCUAACUACGUG
rnacentral:rRNA from 1 species